UCAGGCAGGUGCAUUGUACUCAGCAGUGGAAUGAAGGGCUUAACAUCGUAUGCAAAAAGGAAGCCCCUCUUAGGUUUUCACCAGGAUUAAAUGGAAUUAGCUUUGUAGUUUUGAUAAUCUUCUUCACAAAAGAAUGCAAUUUCAGUUUCAUUGGCGAUUCUAGCUGCUUUUAGAGUCCUGUCUGCUUUCAAACAGGAAUCUGUCAUCUUCUCCCAAACUCCACAUGAGUUCACUCGUCUGGUUUGUAAGCUUGCCGUCCUGCAGGGCAGAUAACACGUCAGCUCCACUCUCCAGAGGAGGGUGCGGAAACCGGAGAGAUCGCUCAAGGCCACGGAAUGAACCAGUAAACUGCCACACUGGGACCAGCACCAAAGUUUGGUUUCCCAGGGUACUCAAGUGCUUCUCAAUCUUCACAAUGACCUGGGGGUACUUGAGACCACGUGGAGACAGAGAGGUCCCAGGAGCCCCAGCCCUGCCAGCUGCCAGCUGUUGGAGUCCUGCAGCCUGGGCACCAGUCGCAUGAGUGAGCCAGCCUUCUGAUGACUCCGGCUCUAGCCAUUAUCAGCCUGCAACUACAUGACAGAUACAAAUGCCAACCACCUUGCCGAGGCCAGCAAAC